rnacentral:rRNA from 1 species
GAGUACCACGGGACACGUGAAACCCUGUGGGAAGCAGGAGGGACCACCCUCCAAGGCUAAAUACUACCUAGUGACCGAUAGCGUAUAGUACCGUGCGGGAAAGGUGAAAAGAACCCCGGGAGGGGAGUGAAAUAGAACCUGAAACCCUGCACUUACAAGCUGUGGAAGCACAUUUCUUGUGUGACCGCGUACUUUUUGUAGAACGGGCCAACGAGUUACGUUAAGUAGCAAG